CAUAGCCCUUAAAAAAAUUAAAGGUGUAACCUGCCCAAUGGUUUAAAAUUAAAAAUUAUAAUAAAUUUAAAUAAACUUAAAGGACGCGGUAUAUUGACUGUGAUAAUGUAGCAUAAUCAUUUGCCACUUAAUUAGUGGAUAGUAUGAAUGGUUAAACGAAUUUAACACUGUCUCAAGUAAAGAUUUUAUAAAAUUGGAAUAAUAGUAAAGAUACUAUUUAAGAUUAUAAGACGAAAAGACCCUAUAGAGCUUAACUAUAAUCUUUUAUAAAAAUAAAAUAUAAAUUAAUUUAUGUUAAUAAUAGAUUGGUAGUUUAGUUGGGGCGACUGUUUUCUAUAAAAAACGAAAACAAACAAAAAUUAAUUAAAUAAUUUAUUGUAUAAUUAAUAAAUUUAACAAUUACUAUAGUAGGUAAUAAUGACCCGUUUUCAUUUACAAAUAAAGGAAACGAUUAAUAAAUAAAAGCUACCUUAGGGAUAACAGGAUAAUUUUAUUCUAGAGAUCUUAUCGAAAAUAAAGUUUGUCACCUCUAUGUUGAAUUAAGAUAUCCUAAUAAUGCAGAAGUUAUUAAAGGUAGGUCUGUUCGACCUUUAAAAUCUU
rnacentral:rRNA from 1 species